rnacentral:rRNA from 1 species
GAUGAACGCUGGCGGCGUGCUUAACACAUGCAAGUCGAACGGUGAAGGCGGAGCUUGCUCUGCUGGAUCAGUGGCGAACGGGUGAGUAACACGUGAGCAAUCUGCCCCUGACUCUGGGAUAAGCGCUGGAAACGGCGUCUAAUACUGGAUACGAGCUGCGAAGGCAUCUUCAGCAGCUGGAGAGAACUUCGGUCAGGGAUGAGCUCGCGGCCUAUCAGCUUGUUGGUGAGGUAACGGCUCACCAAGGCGUCGACGGGUAGCCGGCCUGAGAGGGUGACCGGCCACACUGGGACUGAGACACGGCCCAGACUCCUACGGGAGGCAGCAGUGGGGAAUAUUGCACAAUGGGCGAAAGCCUGAUGCAGCAACGCCGCGUGAGGGACGACGGCCUUCGGGUUGUAAACCUCUUUUAGCAGGGAAGAAGCGAAAGUGACGGUACCUGCAGAAAAAGCGCCGGCUAACUACGUG